GCAGCCGUGGCCGAGUGGUUAAGGCGAUGGACUCGAAAUCCAUUGGGGUCUCCCCGCACAGGUUCGAAUCCUGUUGGCUGCG
rnacentral:tRNA from 1 species